CCGUCACUCAUUAGGGUUCCGUAGCCAAAUGGCAAAAAACGGAACCCUUAUAGAUUCGUCAUGUCUGUCCGUCUUUCCGUGUAUGUCACAGCCACUUUUUACCGAAACUAUAAGAACUACACUGUUGAAACUUGGUAAGUAGAUGUAUUCUGUGAACCGCGUUAAGAUUUUCACACAAAAAAACAAUAAAUUUUACUUACUUACUUAGAACUGAAACUCAAAUUUUUUUUCAUCAAACCCAUACGUGUGGGGUAUCUAUGGAUAGGUCUUCAAAAAUGAUAUUGAGGUUUCUGAUAUAAUUUUUUUCUAAACUGAAUAGUUUGCGCGAGAGACACUUCCAAAGUGUCCCCCCCCCCCUCUGUAACUUCUAAAAUAAGAGAAUGAAAAAUCUAAAAAAAAUAUAUGAUGUACAUUACCAUGCAAACUUCCACCGGAAAUUGGUUUGAACGAGAUCUGGUAAGUAGUUUUUUUUUAAUACGUCA